GUGCUCGCUUUGGCAGCACAUAUACUAAAAUUGGAACAAUACAGAAAAGAUUAGCAUGGCCCCUGUGCAAGGAUGAACUGUUUUCGAAUCUAAUUCCCUAAAGCCAA